AAAAGAUUUUUGUGGGUAAAAAAUUUUUUUUUCAGGGGGGGGAGGGGAGAAGGGUUAAAACCCUUUCCUUUGUGGUUUUUCCCAGAGAAAAAAACCCGGUUUAAUUCUGUGCCCCCCCCCCCGGUAAUACGGAGGGGGCCAAGCCUUUUUUUGAAUUUUUUGGGCGUAAAAACCCCCCCGGGGGGUUUGUUCAAUUUGGAAGUGAAAUACCCCGCCUCCCCCCGGGGGAGUGCCCUCGGAAGUGGCGGGCAAGAGUUUUUUUAGAGGGGGGGGGCAUUCCAGGUGUAGCGGCGAAAUACGUAAAGAUUUUGAGGAAUACCCCGCGGCGGAGGCGGCCCCCUGGAGCAAAAAAAGACGCUCGAGGUGCGAAAAACAGGGGGAGCACACAGGAGUAGUUUUCCCCCGUGGUCCUCCCCGCAGAAGACGUCGCCUAUGAGGAGGUGGCCCUGAAGCGUCGCGUCUUCAGCAAAAAACGUUAAUAAGUCCACCCCGUGGGGACUCCCGCCACAAGGUUAAAACUAAAAUGAAUUGGGGGGGCCCCGCACAAGGGGUGGAGCAUGUGGUUUAAUUCGAUGCAACGGGAAGACCCUUACCUACUCUCGACAUCCAGAGAACUUAGCAGAGAUGCUUUGGUCCCUUGGGGAACUCUGAGACAGGUGCUGCAUGGCUGUCGUCAGCUCGUGUUGUGAAAUGUUGGGUUAAGUCCCGCAACGAGCGCAACCCUUAUCCUUUGUUGCCAGCGGUUAGGCCGGGAACUCAAAGGAGACUGCCAGUGAUAAACUGGAGGAAGGUGGGGAUGACGUCAAGUCAUCAUGGCCCUUACGAGUAGGGCUACACACGUGCUACAAUGGCGCAUACAAAGAGAAGCGACCUCGCGAGAGCAAGCGGACCUCAUAAAGUGCGUCGUAGUCCGGAUUGGAGUCUGCAACUCGACUCCAUGAAGUCGGAAUCGCUAGUAAUCGUGGAUCAGAAUGCCACG
rnacentral:rRNA from 1 species